rnacentral:rRNA from 1 species
AUGGAGAAGAGCAGGGUUCUUGUUGUUGGUGGCACCGGCUACAUCGGCAGGAGGAUCGUGAAGGCAAGCCUAUCUCAGGGCCACGAGACCUACGUCCUGAUGAGGCCCGAGAUCGGGCUCGACGUCGAGAAGCUCCAGCUGCUGCUGUCGUUCAAGGCGCAGGGAGUGCGGCUCAUGGAGGCGUCGCUGGACGACCACCGGGGACUCGUCGCCGCCGUGAAGCAGGUAGACGUGGUGGUCUCGGCCAUGUCCGGGGUUCAUUUCCGUGGCCACGGGCUCCUGCUGCAGCUCAAGCUGGUGGAGGCUAUCAAAGAAGCUGGAAACGUCAAGCGUUUCCUACCAUCUGAAUUCGGCAUGGACCCAGCAAGGAUGGGGCAUGCCCUUGAACCAGGAAGGAUCACAUUUGAUGAGAAGAUGGAGAUAAGAAGGGCGAUAGAAGAAGCAAACAUUCCCCACACCUAUAUUUCUGCUAACUGCUUUGCAGCUUACUUUGGUGCUAACCUUGGUCAAAUGCGUACCCUACUUCCACCCAAAGAGAAAGUUUAUGUAUAUGGGGAUGGCAACAUCAAAGGGAUAUUCCUGGACGAAAAAGAUGUUGCAACAUACACAAUCAAGUCGAUUGAUGAUCCACGGGCCUUGAACAAGACAAUAUACCUAAGACCGACAGAAAACAUCCUUAGUCAAAAUGAGCUGAUUGCUAAAUGGGAAAACCUCUCAGGAAAGGUUCUUCAGAAAAUUCCCAUUCAGAGUGAUGAAUUCUUGGCGUCAAUGAUAGGUACGGACCUUACUAAUCAAGUUGGGGUAGGGCAUUUCUACCACAUUUUCUAUGAGGGUUGCUUGACAAACUUUGACAUCAAAGACAAUGAGGAAGAAGAAGCUUCUCUACUCUACCCAGAUGUUCAGUACACCAGGAUGGAUGAGUACAUGAAACGCUAUUUGUAA